GGGUUUGUGGCUCAGCCGUAGAGCACUCACCUAUCAUGUGCGAGGCCCUGGGUUCAAUCCUCAGCACCA
rnacentral:tRNA from 1 species